rnacentral:rRNA from 1 species
GAUGAACGCUGGCGGCGUGCCUAAUACAUGCAAGUCGAGCGAACAGACGAGGAGCUUUCUCCUCUGACGUUAGCGGCGGACGGGUGAGUAACACGUGGAUAACCUACCUAUAAGACUGGGAUAACUUCGGGAAACCGGAUCUAAUACCGGAUAUUAUAUUGAACCGCAUGGUUCAAUAGUGUAAGACGUUUUUGCUCUCACAUUUAGAUGGAUCCGCGCUGCAUUAGCUAGUUGGUAAGGUAACGGCUUACCAAGGCGACGAUGCGUAGCCGACCUGAGAGGGUGAUCGGCCACACUGGAACUGAGACACGGUCCAGACUCCUACGGGAGGCAGCAGUAGGGAAUCUUCCGCAAUGGGCGAAAGCCUGACGGAGCAACGCCGCGUGAGUGAUGAAGGUCUUCGGAUCGUAAAGCUCUGUUAUUAGGGAAGAACAAAUGUGUAAGAAACUAUGCAAGUAUAGACGGUACCUAAUCAGAAAGCCACGGCUAACUACGUG